GACGAACGCUGGCGGCGUGCCUAAUACAUGCAAGUUGAGCGCUGAAGGAUGGUACUUGUCCCAACUGGAUGAGCAGCGAACGGGUGAGUAACGCGUGGGGAAUCUGCCUUUGAGCGGGGGACAACAUUUGGAAACGAAUGCUAAUACCGCAUAAAAACUUUAAACACAAGUUUUAAGUUUGAAAGAUGCAAUUGCAUCACUCAAAGAUGAUCCCGCGUUGUAUUAGCUAGUUGGUGAGGUAAAGGCUCACCAAGGCGAUGAUACAUAGCCGACCUGAGAGGGGGAUCGGCCACAUUGGGACUGAGACACGGCCCAAACUCCUUCGGGAGGCAGCAGUAGGGAAUCUUCGGCAAUGGACGAAAGUCUGACCGAGCAACGCCGCGGGAGUGAAGAAGGUUGUCGGAUCGUAAAACUCUGUUGGUAGAGAAGAACGUUGGUGAGAGUGGAAAGCUCAUAAAGUGACGGUAACUACCCAGAAAGGGACGGCUAACUACGUG
rnacentral:rRNA from 1 species